rnacentral:rRNA from 1 species
AGUGAACGCUGGCGGCAGGCCUAACACAUGCAAGUCGAACGGCAGCACAGAGGAGCUUGCUCCUUGGGUGGCGAGUGGCGGACGGGGUGAGGAAUACAUCGGAAUCUGCCCAAUCGUGGGGGAUAACGUAGGGAAACUUACGCUAAUACCGCAUACGACCCCAUAUCGAAGGGUGUGGGGUGAAAGCGCGGGACCGCAAGGCCACGCGCGAUUGGAUGAGCCGANGUCGGAUUAGCUUGUUUGGCGGGGUAAAGGCCCACCAAGGCGACGAUCCGUACCUGGUCUGAGAGGAUGAUCAGCCACACUGGAACUGAGACACGGUCCAGACUCCUACGGGAGGCAGCAGUGGGGGAAUAUUGGACAAUGGGCGCAGCCUGAUCCAGCCAUGCCGCGUGUGUGAGAA